GGGUUGUGAGGUUAAGCGACUAAGCGUACACGGUGGAUGCCCUGGCAGUCAGAGGCGAUGAAGGACGUGCUAAUCUGCGAUAAGCGUCGGUAAGGUGAUAUGAACCGUUAUAACCGGCGAUUUCCGAAUGGGGAAACCCAGUGUGUUUCGACACACUAUCAUUAACUGAAUCCAUAGGUUAAUGAGGCGAACCGGGGGAACUGAAACAUCUAAGUACCCCGAGGAAAAGAAAUCAACCGAGAUUCCCCCAGUAGCGGCGAGCGAACGGGGAGCAGCCCAGAGCCUGAAUCAGUGUGUGUGUUAGUGGAAGCGUCUGGAAAGGCGCGCGAUACAGGGUGACAGCCCCGUACACAAAAAUGCACAUGCUGUGAGCUCGAUGAGUAGGGCGGGACACGUGGUAUCCUGUCUGAAUAUGGGGGGACCAUCCUCCAAGGCUAAAUACUCCUGACUGACCGAUAGUGAACCAGUACCGUGAGGGAAAGGCGAAAAGAACCCCGGCGAGGGGAGUGAAAAAGAACCUGAAACCGUGUACGUACAAGCAGUGGGAGCACGCUUAGGCGUGUGACUGCGUACCUUUUGUAUAAUGGGUCAGCGACUUAUAUUCUGUAGCAAGGUUAACCGAAUAGGGGAGCCGAAGGGAAACCGAGUCUUAACUGGGCGUUAAGUUGCAGGGUAUAGACCCGAAACCCGGUGAUCUAGCCAUGGGCAGGUUGAAGGUUGGGUAACACUAACUGGAGGACCGAACCGACUAAUGUUGAAAAAUUAGCGGAUGACUUGUGGCUGGGGGUGAAAGGCCAAUCAAACCGGGAGAUAGCUGGUUCUCCCCGAAAGCUAUUUAGGUAGCGCCUCGUGAAUUCAUCUCCGGGGGUAGAGCACUGUUUCGGCAAGGGGGUCAUCCCGACUUACCAACCCGAUGCAAACUGCGAAUACCGGAGAAUGUUAUCACGGGAGACACACGGCGGGUGCUAACGUCCGUCGUGAAGAGGGAAACAACCCAGACCGCCAGCUAAGGUCCCAAAGUCAUGGUUAAGUGGGAAACGAUGUGGGAAGGCCCAGACAGCCAGGAUGUUGGCUUAGAAGCAGCCAUCAUUUAAAGAAAGCGUAAUAGCUCACUGGUCGAGUCGGCCUGCGCGGAAGAUGUAACGGGGCUAAACCAUGCACCGAAGCUGCGGCAGCGACGCUGAUGCGUUGUUGGGUAGGGGAGCGUUCUGUAAGCCUGCGAAGGUGUGCUGUGAGGCAUGCUGGAGGUAUCAGAAGUGCGAAUGCUGACAUAAGUAACGAUAAAGCGGGUGAAAAGCCCGCUCGCCGGAAGACCAAGGGUUCCUGUCCAACGUUAAUCGGGGCAGGGUGAGUCGACCCCUAAGGCGAGGCCGAAAGGCGUAGUCGAUGGGAAACAGGUUAAUAUUCCUGUACUUGGUGUUACUGCGAAGGGGGGACGGAGAAGGCUAUGUUGGCCGGGCGACGGUUGUCCCGGUUUAAGCGUGUAGGCUGGUUUUCCAGGCAAAUCCGGAAAAUCAAGGCUGAGGCGUGAUGACGAGGCACUACGGUGCUGAAGCAACAAAUGCCCUGCUUCCAGGAAAAGCCUCUAAGCAUCAGGUAACAUCAAAUCGUACCCCAAACCGACACAGGUGGUCAGGUAGAGAAUACCAAGGCGCUUGAGAGAACUCGGGUGAAGGAACUAGGCAAAAUGGUGCCGUAACUUCGGGAGAAGGCACGCUGAUAUGUAGGUGAAGCGACUUGCUCGUGGAGCUGAAAUCAGUCGAAGAUACCAGCUGGCUGCAACUGUUUAUUAAAAACACAGCACUGUGCAAACACGAAAGUGGACGUAUACGGUGUGACGCCUGCCCGGUGCCGGAAGGUUAAUUGAUGGGGUUAGCGCAAGCGAAGCUCUUGAUCGAAGCCCCGGUAAACGGCGGCCGUAACUAUAACGGUCCUAAGGUAGCGAAAUUCCUUGUCGGGUAAGUUCCGACCUGCACGAAUGGCGUAAUGAUGGCCAGGCUGUCUCCACCCGAGACUCAGUGAAAUUGAACUCGCUGUGAAGAUGCAGUGUACCCGCGGCAAGACGGAAAGACCCCGUGAACCUUUACUAUAGCUUGACACUGAACAUUGAGCCUUGAUGUGUAGGAUAGGUGGGAGGCUUAGAAGUGUGGACGCCAGUCUGCAUGGAGCCGACCUUGAAAUACCACCCUUUAAUGUUUGAUGUUCUAACGUUGACCCGUAAUCCGGGUUGCGGACAGUGUCUGGUGGGUAGUUUGACUGGGGCGGUCUCCUCCUAAAGAGUAACGGAGGAGCACGAAGGUUGGCUAAUCCUGGUCGGACAUCAGGAGGUUAGUGCAAUGGCAUAAGCCAGCUUGACUGCGAGCGUGACGGCGCGAGCAGGUGCGAAAGCAGGUCAUAGUGAUCCGGUGGUUCUGAAUGGAAGGGCCAUCGCUCAACGGAUAAAAGGUACUCCGGGGAUAACAGGCUGAUACCGCCCAAGAGUUCAUAUCGACGGCGGUGUUUGGCACCUCGAUGUCGGCUCAUCACAUCCUGGGGCUGAAGUAGGUCCCAAGGGUAUGGCUGUUCGCCAUUUAAAGUGGUACGCGAGCUGGGUUUAGAACGUCGUGAGACAGUUCGGUCCCUAUCUGCCGUGGGCGCUGGAGAACUGAGGGGGGCUGCUCCUAGUACGAGAGGACCGGAGUGGACGCAUCACUGGUGUUCGGGUUGUCAUGCCAAUGGCACUGCCCGGUAGCUAAAUGCGGAAGAGAUAAGUGCUGAAAGCAUCUAAGCACGAAACUUGCCCCGAGAUGAGUUCUCCCUGACCCUUUAAGGGUCCUGAAGGAACGUUGAAGACGACGACGUUGAUAGGCCGGGUGUGUAAGCGCAGCGAUGCGUUGAGCUAACCGGUACUAAUGAACCGUGAGGCUUAACCUUACAACGCCGAAGCUGUU
rnacentral:rRNA from 1 species